UGCUGGUCUGAUGGUAGUGGGUUUUCCAAAUUUAUUAACAUUAGUUCAGUAAAGUUGGUAUAGAACCCCCACUGCUAAAUUUGGCUAAAAA
rnacentral:Y_RNA from 1 species